rnacentral:rRNA from 1 species
UACGAAGGGGGCUAGCGUUGUUCGGAAUUACUGGGCGUAAAGGGCGCGUAGGCGGCGUGUCAAGUCAGGCGUGAAAGCCCCGGGCUCAACCUGGGAACCGCGCUUGAGACUGGCAUGCUCGAGCUCGGGAGAGGAUGGUGGAAUUCCCAGUGUAGAGGUGAAAUUCGUAGAUAUUGGGAAGAACACCGAUGGCGAAGGCAGCCAUCUGGACCGACACUGACGCUGAGGCGCGAAAGCGUGGGGAGCAAACAGG